GAUGAACGCUGGCGGCGUGCCUAAUACAUGCAAGUCGAGCGGAAGGACGCGAAGCUUGCGUCGCGGAUGUUAGCGGCGGGCGGGAGAGUAACGCGUGUAUAAUCUACCUAUCAUACUGGGAUCACUUCGGGAAACCGGCUCUAAUACCGUAGAAUAUUUUGAAGCGCAGGGUGGAAAAGUGAAAGACGGCCUUGGUGUCACGAAUAGAGGGAUCCGCGCUGCAUUAGCUAGUUGGUACGGUAACGGCUUACCAAGGCUACGAUGCAUAGCCGACCUGAGAGGGUGAUCGGCCACACUGGAACUGAGACACGCACCAGACUCCUGCGGGAGGCAGCAGUCGGGAACCUUACGCAGUGGUCGAAAGCCUGACGCAGCGACGCCGCGUGAGUGAUGAAGGUCUUCGGAUCGUAAAGCUCUGUUAUUAGGUAAGAACAGAUGUGGCCGUAGACGUGGCGAGAUUGACGGUACCUAAUAAAAAAGCACCGGCUAACUACGUG
rnacentral:rRNA from 1 species